CUUAUUUUGUACAGUAUUAUGAUAUGCUUCUUAGUUUUAGGUACCAGGGAUUGACAAUGUCAUUGAAUAUACCCCUGCAAUGUUGCAUGCUUGUAGAUAUAACAAAAUUCUCUCGCUCUCGCUCUCUCUCUCUCGCUUUCUCUCGCUUUCUCUCUGAAAAAACACUGGAAACACUGAUCGAGCAGCAUAUCUAGAAAUAAUUUAUUAUUUGGAGGCCCUGCUUGUAUUGAAGCAUCUACAACGACCAGGGGUAGUGCAAAAUAUGACUGUUUCUGAGUGGAAAGAACGAAUCUCCCACACAUAUAAUGGGGAGAAACUUUCUAUAAUUGGUGUUAAGCUACAUAAUACAGCUUCACAACAAGUGGCUACUUUUGUGUUAAACAAGGAGGAAGAAAUGGUUGAAACUUCCCGAAUUUUCUAGCCAGCUUGCCAUAAGGGUUUGUGAAACAUGGACCGUUCCUAAUUAUUCAGACUCAGAAAAGAAUGUUUUCCAAAUAUCUGGCACAUACCAACCUCACGGCUGAAAGAAACUAUAGAGAAAAGACACUUACUGAUAUUUGCCACGGCUACCACCUAGUAGUACAAGCAGGGCAAGUCAUGGGAAAUGAGCCACAAGCCAGCACCUCAAGAAAUCUGGAAUCGAGUCUCCUUCAUCCGGGCUUGCCCGAUGAUCAUCUUCUGGAUCCAAAGGAUGACGACAGCCAAGAAGACGAGGACAUAACUUCCCAGGACACAAUAAGUGACCAGGAUGAUACUGGCUGGAUUUCAAGAGCAAAAGCUCCCUCAUUGCCAGCAAUGUCAAUGAGGUCACUGAAGCAGAGGCAGACAGCACCAGCAAGCUCGAUGUCAACAAGGUCACGGAAGCAGAGGCAGACACCACCAGCAAGCUCUAGCAGGACUGAAGAUUGCCGGAGAAGUACUAGGCUUCGAAGAAAAUGAGUCCAGCCAUGGAAGUGCAUGAAGCAUAGCAGCAAUGAUGUGAUCAAAACAACACUGACAGAGGCCAAAAUAAAGUUGGUCAAUGAUGUAUCAAGGUGCUUGCUAUGAGGAUCGCUGAGCUGUUAUGAGACAGAAAUUCAUGGAAAAACAUGUUUGGCUUCAUAAGGGAAGGCACAUUCCUCAUAUUUAUCUAUAUUUAUUUAUUAGGUUACUAUAGGUUAAAAAUGUCACUUAUAAUUUUCAAAGUGUAACAGAAUGUUUCUGUUUUUACUCAUGGAAUAAAGUAGUUGCCUGUUUUAGGCCUACUACUGGAAUGUGGGUAGGUGUGAACAGAAACCACUCCUUGGCAAGGUGUGAAAUUUGGGCACCUUGAAGGUGUCAACAUUUUUAAUUAUGUUAGAAUAAAAUAAAAUCAUGCUAAAAUAAUAAAACUUCAUGGUAAUUAGUUGUUUUGUCUCAUACUGCAAUCUCAUUGGUCACUGACUUACAUAAAUACAGCUUCUAGAAACUAGGCCAGCAGUUCACUUUUUGCCAAGCUACUGGAAGCAAGUUCUCAACUCCUUCUUAGCUGGACAUUGUACUCCUGGACUGUUCUCCUACUCUGUUGUUAUGGAUCCUUGCCUUUCACAGUUUUAUUUAGCAAGCAUUUUGAAUUGUUAUAUAUUUAAAUCAAUAUCUCUUUAUCUCUUUCAGAAAAGAUGGCCUGAUAACAGAAGGAAAACCGAACUCAAUUGGGCUGCAAGUAUUGCAUGAGAAUGCAAGGAAAGCUGUCAGUUCACCUCCACAGGGUGUGGAUGAAAACAGCAACUGAAGCUGAAAUCACCCAAGAGGUGGAGGAAGCAAAGAAGAGAAUGCGUGAAGUUGUGGAGUCUGAGUAUUGUCUUCUAUGACAGUCAAUGACAAGAAGAGUGGAUUUUCCAGUGCACAAGAGUUCUUUGUAGAUUUUUUGGAGCAUCAUGGAUGCACCAUCUGAAAAGCAAGGAGCAGAAAACGAAAAUGCAAAAACGGAAAAAACCCCGGUCCUUAAGGGGUUAAUUGUUCACUGUUUCAGGAGUAGCUCUGUAACCUUAAGAAGAAAAUCGACUGAGCCUGGUGUCCACAAGAAGCAUGAUGUGAAUUCCCAAAUGUUUCUAAGCUUCAGAGAAUACCUGGCAGUUCACUUCUCAGAGUUGAGUAUAAGGCAAAUGCAACAGACAUGUAAACCCUAUGGAUUGCCGCAGAGUAGUAGCAGCAGCAGAGCCCCAUGUGGUAAACAUGUUCUCUCAAUCAGUCAGAGAUUGUGGACUAGAUGACAAAGAAAAGACCAUCACAUGCUACUACCUUGAAGCUUUGCUGAUGCUCAAUCAUCUUCGCAAACCAUCUGUGGUCCAAACCUGAUGGUUAAAGAUGUCUGGAGAGAUAAUAUACCACCUAUUUUAAUGGAAGCACCAAAAAGAGGGUCUCCAUUGUGAAAAGGGACUGCUAUUGUGCUUACGGAUGAGGAGGAGCUGGGGUGCAAAUGAAACUGAAUCAUAAAAAGAGGAGGAGGAGAGAAGGAGAAGAAGAAUCAGAAGAAGAUCAAGUAGAAGGUGAAGAGGAAGGAGAAGGAGGAGCGGAAAGCACUGCAAGCAUUGAAGACCUUAUAGACCUUGAAGAGGAGAGCUUCAAAAGAUUACCUCAAAUAUAUCCUUUAGGCCUCAACCAGUCCCCUCCAUCCUUUAAAUGUAUGUUGGCAGGCCAGCCAACUCAAUGCACAAUACUGCCUGGAUAAAUGGAGACUAACCCAAUAUAGAGAUUGUAUCAAGGAUGCUGUUGAACAUUUCAGGAAUCUUCCAAGCAAAGAGCAAGUGAAGGUUUAUAUGGAACAUCAGGCCUGGGACACCAAUGUGCCAAGAACAUUUGACAUUAUGCAGGCCUGGAGACCUCAAGAAUUGAGAAGAAAAGAGGACACUAUGGAACAUAUUGAAGCUUUAAUAGACUCCCAGGAGUGACCAGGACUUGUGGCUGUGGUGGAUAAAAAAAAAAAAGGUGGUUACUCCCUUAAAACCAGUCAGGUCUUUCAGAAAGGAGAGAUUGUCUGUGACUAUCACAGAGUCCUAAUGGAUGGCAAGGAGGCCGAGGAGCUACAAAAAACAUUGACGAACGAGAAAUGUUAUAGCUUCUUCUUCCAGGACAAAGGGAAGAAGAUGUGCAUAAAUGCGACAAAUAUACCUUGCCUGUGCCACAAAGACAUGUUUUCGACUUUUGGGAGGCUAAUUAAUCAUUCAUGCAAAAGAGCAAAUCUAAAACCUGUGGUCAAACAUAUUAAGGACGGAAAACAGCCAGUUAUUCUCUUUGAGGCAAAGAGAAACCUGUUAUUUGACUAUGGUGUCCUUAGAUCUUUUCCUUCACCGAAUGAGUUUUUAAGUUGGCUUGAAACUAGACCUCAUGCUGCUUUGUUUAUUGUAUGUUGGUAUUUAUUGUUAUAAUAAAUAAUGAUAUAAUUUGUCAAAGUGUAAUAUUAAGAUAGUUGAGGAGAUUUAUCCAUCAGCCUUAAACCCUACUUGAACUUUUUUUCUCACAGCUCAACUGUCAUAUUUUAACAAAGCUCUGGUAAUGUGAAAGUUGAGCUGUGAUUGGUUGCUGUAAGAAAAAACAGACAAGUAGGGUUUCAGGCUGAUUGAUCAAUCAGUAUAUUCUUGUUAUAAUGUUUUUUCACCAUUCUGUUAAUUAUUGUUAAAUUAUUGAUCUGUUGUUGGCUUCGAUUCGCUCAUCUUUAAUUAGGAUGUUUUUUUUUUUUUUU